rnacentral:lncRNA from 1 species
AUUCGUAAGAGUAGUAGUCCUUAUGCUGCGCCCGUAGUAAUAGUUCGCAAGCACGACAAGUCUAUUAGACUGUGUGUAGAUUACAGAUUACUGAAUAAAAAGACAAUACGUGACGCUUAUCCACUUCCAAGAAUCGAGGAGGCGUUAGACACCUUGCACGGAACAAAGUUUUAUACCACGCUAGACUUAUCCCAAGGUUAUUAUCAGGUAGCGACCGAUGAAAGAGAUAUACAUAAGACUGCAUUUCGUGUUGGAACGGGAGGUCUUUAUGAGUACCUAAGGAUGCCGAUGGGACUUUCUAAUAGUGCGGCUACAUUUCAAAAGAUAAUGGAAGCAUGUUUUAAUGACAAAAAUUUUGAAAUAUUAUUGAUUUAUUUAGAUGAUAUUCUUAUCUUUUCAAAGACAGUAGAAGAACAGUUAGAACGCCUGGAGUUUGUGUUUCAACGACUAAGACAGCAUGGUUUGAAAUUAAAAUUGUCAAAAUGUCAUUUCUUCAAGAAGGAGGUAAGAUACUUAGGACACGUUAUUUCACAAGAUGGCAUCAAAACAAACCCAGACAAAACAAAAUCAAUACAAGAUUGGAAAGUACCUACCACCGAAAAAGAACUCCG